GAUUUUAUUUUAGACUAGCUGAUCCCGCGAACUUCGUAUCGUUUAAACCUUCCCUGGACCUCUACAAACAUUUUAAAACCAAGAAAAGCCAAAUCGGUCCAGCCAUUCUGCAGUUUUAGUAGGACUAACGAACAGCAAUUAAUUUUUAUAUAUAAGAUUUUUUAAACAAAAUUUUUCAAAUAUGUAAGUCUGGAACUAUUGGAAAUAUUAACAACGACACAGGCCUCUUCUCAUGCAGAGAAGGGUCAGUGGGUCGUUUUAGGGGGAAUGAGCGUUCGUUAGCGGAAUCACCACGCUUGCUCCAGGUGGAAUAGCGACUUCGGACAUUAAAGCCCAGUGGCUAUGACGACGCCGCCGAUAGACCUGGACAAGCCCCGGUGGGAUCAGAACACCUACUGGGGGCGGGUCAAACACUUCAUAUUGCUCACUAAUCCGUUAAACGUGUUCACUAGUGAAGCUAAACUUGAUGAGGCCAAGAGAGUCGUAUCUGAGUACAGGGAAACAAAAAAGAUGCCCUUCGGUUACACCGAAGACAAACUAUGGGCGAUGAAGUAUUUAUACGACAGCGCGUACCACCCCGACACUGGGGAGAAGAUGGUCAGGAUCGGCCGCAUGUCCGCGCAGGCGCCUAUGAGCACACUCAUCGGUGGAUGUAUGUUAUCUUUUUACAAAACGAGGACUGCAAUACUUUUCUGGCAAUGGGUGAAUCAGUCGUUUAACGCUAUUGUCAAUUACACGAAUCGUUCUGGCGACGCAAAACUUACUACUAAACAGAUAAUUACGUCAUACGUCGCGGCCUGCGGGGGUGCUCUGACCACUGCUCUAUACCUCAACAGUAAAGUUAAGGGCAUGAACCCACUGUACGCGCGGCUGGUACCGUUCGCGGCUGUCUGCGGCGCUAACUUCAUCAAUAUACCCUUGAUGAGGAGCAAUGAAAUCCUGCACGGCACGCCAGUAUACACGGCGGAUGGACAGCGCGUUGGUGACUCCAAGAUCGCGGCCAUGACAGGCAUUCUGCUCGUCUGUGUCUCAAGAGUCAGCAUGGUGGUACCUAGCAUGACGCUCGUGCCUCUAAUAACGAACACGGCAGUUCAAAGAGGUUGGUUCAGUAGCACGUCUCUAGCUGUGUUGCCAUUCCAAAUGUUACUGGUUUGUCUCACCAUAACAUUCGCAACGCCUAUGUGCUGUGCCUUCUUUGAUCAGAAAGCCUCCAUCAACAUCAAUAAGAUAGAGAACGAUAUAAGGGAAACGGCGCUAAAGAAAUUUCCUAAGACGAAUGUAUUGUAUUACAACAAGGGCCUGUGAUCAGAGACAGCGCAGCUACUUCCAUUGAACUGAAUUAUUGCACGGAACGCCCGUAUUUGCUCCGGAGGGGCAAAGAGUUGGGGAUUCCAAGAAAGCAGCUCGCAAGGGAAUCUUUCUAGUGUGCAUAUCCAGGGUGGCCAUGGCUCUUCCCGGCUUUAGAGGAGGCGCUUAAGAUCUCUCCCAAGACGGACACAGUUUACUUCAACAAGGGUCUGUAAGGUGCAGGUGCAAUGUUGAACCUUCCCAAUUGGGGUGGAUUCCCAGUGUACCUGUGCUGCUCGUCAGUCGUGUUGGUACCCAUUUUUCUACGAACCCUAGCGGGAGUCGAGAGGAAAACGUGGAAUGCUUUUAUGCUAAGCGACUCAACCUUCAUAAAAAUACUCCUUAUAAUGCAAGUUCUCCAGUGUUUACAGAUUGCUUCUUUUUAAUAGUUUGCCUUUUAGAGGAAAUAUGAUAACUAUUUUUAACAACGCGAUGUUCCGUUGCUAUUGCAACGUAUGCCCGUUGUGUUAACAAACACGGCUACACUUUAUUAUUGAAUACUGUGCGUUAGGCCCUCGCCUAUCAUAAAAAUCGGGCCGUUGUCCGUUCUCGUUAACUUCCCUUAAAACUAGAAUUUAAACUACAGAGGUAGAGGAAACAUACAGCCGAGUCAAAUGAGAGCUCAGAAACUUUAUUUGACCGUAUUGACAAAUGAUAAUCCAUCUACUCUUUUUUGCCAUCAAUGGAAGUGGACAAAAAUUGCAAUACAGUUCUUACGUACCUAUAGUUCGGGUCAGAGUUCGUAAUUUUGUAAGUUUUAAUGUUUUUAAUUUUUAAACCCCGAAGCAAAAAGAGGAGUGGUAAGAGCUUAACCUGUUUAUCUGUUGGGUCAUAGCUCCCGAACGGAUGAAGCGAUUUCAAUAUAGCUUUAAAAGUAAUUUAUGUCCGAGUGCUCUGAAACAUGUUUGAUGAAAAUAGGUUGAACCGUUGAAAAAUUAGGGCUGUAGGGAUGAAAGUGGGAAAUAUGUCCGAAUGUCUGAAUAAAUACUCGAAUGGGGUAUCAAAAGAAAGGUCAUCGGUCACCGUUCCCCUGUUUCACUCCCUACAACUCUCGAACGGCUAUAUCAAUUUUCAUCAAACAUGUCUUAUAAGUCAAAUCUUCUUUGAUACAAAAAAACUGAAUUGAAAUAAUACUUGCUUAGCCCGUUCGGGAGCUGCUACGCCACAAACGGACACGUAAAGCCUAUACCGCCCCUCUUUUUGCUCCGGUGGUUAAAAAUAAUAAAAUAUGUCUCGUUGGGGGACCGUGAAAACAAAACAUGAUUAGGUGCGGUCUCCCAACGUGACGUAUAUUUUUUAAUUUUUUAAGGUAAGUUUAAGGUUUUUGUGUCGGGGGUUUUAAAUUUUUUAAUUUAUGUACAGUGUUAUUUACUUCAAUGUUUUCAAAAAAAAAUGCUAAGAAUGGAUUUCACCAUUAGUCAAAUGAGGGAUUUGAGUUAUAACUAGAAUGGUGCAAUCCACCCUUAGUACACCAGAUUGUUUUAAUUUAUGAAUAAAUUAUCACGAUUGAGUCGAAAGUCUUUGUUGU